CCUACGGGAUGCAGCAGUGAGGAAUUUUGCGCAAUGGGGGAAACCCUGACGCAGCAACGCCGCGUGAGUGAUGAAGGCUUUCGGGUCGUAAAGCUCUGUCAAGUGGGAAGAAACCACUUGGUGUUAAUACCACCAGGUGCUGACGGUACCACUGAAGGAAGCACCGGCUAACUCCGUGCCAGCAGCCGCGGUAAUACGGGGGGUGCAAGCGUUAUUCGGAAUUACUGGGCGUAAAGAGCGCGUAGGCGGUCUCUUAAGUCGGGUGUGAAAGCCCGGGGCUCAACCCCGGAAGUGCACUUGAAACUAAGGGACUUGAGUAUGGGAGAGGGAAGUGGAAUUCCUGGUGUAGCGGUGAAAUGCGUAGAUAUCAGGAGGAACACCGGUGGCGAAGGCGACUUCCUGGACCAAUACUGACGCUGAGGCGCGAAGGCGUGGGGAGCAAACAGGAUUAGAUACCCGUGUAGUC
rnacentral:rRNA from 1 species